UAGCGGGUUUGAGAGGAUGAUCCGCCACACUGGUACUGAGACACGGACCAGACUCCUACGGGAGGCAGCAGUGAGGAAUAUUGCACAAUGGGGGAAACCCUGAUGCAGCAACGCCGCGUGGAGGAUGACGCAUUUCGGUGUGUAAACUCCUUUUAUAUGUCAAGAAAAUGACGGUAGCAUAUGAAUAAGCACCGGCUAACUCCGUGCCAGCAGCCGCGGUAAUACGGAGGGUGCAAGCGUUAUUCGGAAUCACUGGGCGUAAAGGACGCGUAGGCGGGAUGCCAAGUCUGAUGUGAAAUCCUAUGGCUUAACCAUAGAACUGCAUUGGAAACUGGUAACCUAGAGUAUGGGAGGGGGAGAUGGAAUUAGUGGUGUAGGGGUAAAAUCCGUAGAUAUCACUAGGAAUACCGAAAGCGAAGGCGAUCUCCUGGAACAAUACUGACGCUAAGGCGUGAAAGCGUGGGGAGCAAACGGGAUUAGAUACCCCGGUAGUCCACGCCCUAAACGAUGAACACUAGUCGUCGCUCUGCUAGUCAGGGCGGUGAUGCACUUAACAGAUUAAGUGUUCCGCCUGGGGAGUACGGUCGCAAGAUUAAAACUCAAAGGAAUAGACGGGGACCCGCACAAGUGGUGGAGCAUGUGGUUUAAUUCGAAAAUACGCGAAGAACCUUACCUAGCCUUGACAUUUAAGAAAUACCCUAGAGAUAGAGUAGUGCCCUUCGGGGAAUCUGAAAACAGGUGCUGCACGGCUGUCGUCAGCUCGUGUCGUGAGAUGUUGGGUUAAGUCCCGCAACGAGCGCAACCCUCGUCCUUAGUUGCCAGCUGUUCGGCUGGGCACUCUAAGGAGACUGCCUUCGCAAGGAGGAGGAAGGUGAGGACGACGUCAAGUCAUCAUGGCCCUUAUGGCUAGGGCUACACACGUGCUACAAUGGGGCGUACAGAGAGUUGCGAUACCGCGAGGUGGAGCCAAUCUCAUAAAGCGUCUCUCAGUUCGGAUUGAAGUCUGCAACUCGACUUCAUGAAGCUGGAAUCACUAGUAAUCGUAGAUCAGCAAUGCUACGGUGAAUACGUUCCCGGGUCUUGUACUCACCGCCCGUCACACCAUGGGAGUUGAUUUCACCCGAAAUUGGGAAGCUAACCUUCGGGGGGCUACCACUUACGGUGGAAUUAGCGACUGGGGUGAAGUCGUAACAAGGUAACCGUAGGAACCUGCGGUUG
rnacentral:rRNA from 1 species